ACACCUUUGCAUGUGGGUAGAUUUCAGAUUUUAGAUGAAGCAAAACUCUAUUCAAGUUUCUAAUUUAUUGGAUGCUCGAUCUACUCUAAAGGAAUCGAUUGUAGAUUCAACAACACACAUGAGAUUUUAAAUUCCUCUUAGCAAUUUGUGCCAAAGUUGAAUGGGCAAACCUUCGAAGACGCCUACGCACAUGUGAUUAUUACCGAAAUCAUCCUACGCUAAUCCGUAUCGAAAGGUCUAUCUACUCUGAAACAACACCAUGACAGAUCCAACUCACAUUUGUUUCUCAAUUUCUAAAUCCACUUUCAGAUUUCGAAACACAUCAAUUAGGGGGAGUGAUGUAAAAAGAAAAAUUGGACAGGCUUCUUCCUUUAAGAGCGCUAACAAAUUAAAAAGAGAGCUUUAUGUUUACCGGUUGUAAAAAUCCGGUUAUCUAAUUCAUGGAGGGAUGAAUCUUUCGAAACCAACCCAGAUUUUUGAUUCUACCAAGGAAGGGCUAACAUCCUGAGGAAAGCGUAGGAGGAAGCCAUUUCUUUGGUGGAAAGGUAAGCGAAAGCUGAUAAGAGUAUUUGGAGAAUAUGAUGAAUAUACUUUUCUCCAACAGUCAAUCUUUAUAGGUAGAAUGAUAACAUCAAUGGUUUAGGAAUGUUAACAUACUGUAAACUGAAUUUGAAAAGUGUAGAUAAAAUACUGUAAAUAAUGAGACUGAAGGAGUUUUCAUUCUUCUAUUAGACCUCUAGCCCGCUUGACUACUCAUUAUGUCGUAUUAGAAUGUAAUCACCCCAAGAGACCUGAGGACUUUUUCUCAGUUUGCUUCUCCUUCUUCUUUUACUUUCUUGUUUUCUCAUAAAGAUAUGAAACAGGAAUGAAAUUACAGUUUACAGUUUAAUAUAACUUUCCGUUUAGUCUUUCUGAUUUUGAAGCAUCCAAGUCUGAGGGAUACAAAUGAGACUCUUGGAGUUGCAGAGUAGAAUCAGAGGAGGGGAUAUGUCUUAUCACCGUCUACUCCAAACAACCAAGAAAGUGAAAAUCAGAACCCAAACUUGGCCACACCUCCAAGCUACCAAGCAAAAUCAUGGAGAUCAGCAAUUAAAUCAACUUCUGUCAAGAAGAUGAAUAAAGAAACACCGAGACUACAGAGCACACAAUCAGCGAGAACGAUUAUGGUGAGAAAAGGUGUGAUGUAGCUUGAGUUGUAGAAAAUGUCGAUAUUUAUAGGUAGAAGUAUUAGCUAAGGGUUUAGGGAUGAAUUAGUUCUUUGUUUAGGGAUGAGGUAUACCCGUGAUUGGCAUUUGAAUAAAUUGAUAUCACUGAUUUUGGAUGGUUACAUAUGAAUAAGGUAAGUCAAAUCCGCCGUUGUGUAAUAUUUCCAAAAUUUUAAAGUAUAUGCUACGAUUUAGGUAAUGAAAUAUGAUUGAUUUGUGUCA